CCUACGGGAGGCAGCAGUGAGGAAUAUUGGUCAAUGGACGCAAGUCUGAACCAGCCAUGCCGCGUGCAGGAAGACGGCUCUAUGAGUUGUAAACUGCUUUUGUACGAGGGUAAACGCAGAUACGUGUAUCUGUCUGAAAGUAUCGUACGAAUAAGGAUCGGCUAACUCCGUGCCAGCAGCCGCGGUAAUACGGAGGAUUCAAGCGUUAUCCGGAUUUAUUGGGUUUAAAGGGUGCGUAGGCGGUCGGAUAAGUUAGAGGUGAAAUCCCGAGGCUCAACUUCGGAAUUGCCUCUGAUACUGUUCGUCUAGAGAGUAGUUGAGGUAGGCGGAAUGUAUGGUGUAGCGGUGAAAUGCUUAGAGAUCAUACAGAACACCGAUUGCGAAGGCAGCUUACCAGGCUACUUCUGACGUUGAGGCACGAAAGCGUGGGGAGCAAACAGGAUUAGAUACCCCUGUAGUC
rnacentral:rRNA from 1 species